UACGGAGGAUGCAAGCGUUAUCCGGAAUGAUUGGGCGUAAAGCGUCCGCAGGUGGCUGUGUAAGUCUGCUGUCAAAGAGCGGAGCUCAACUUCGUAAAGGCAGUGGAAACUACACGGCUAGAGUGCGUUCGGGGCAGAGGGAAUUCCUGGUGUAGCGGUGAAAUGCGUAGAGAUCAGGAAGAACACCGGUGGCGAAGGCGCUCUGCUAGGCCGCAACUGACACUGAGGGACGAAAGCUAGGGGAGCGAAUGGG
rnacentral:rRNA from 1 species